GACGGCCGUAUCUCAUUGAAAGAAUGGUUCUCGUCAGAUCACAGAAGUUAAGCAACAUCGAGCCUGGUCUGUACUGAGGUGUGUGACCGCUUCGGAAUACCAGGUUCUGUAA